rnacentral:rRNA from 1 species
UCCAGCUCCAAUAGCAUAUAUUAAAAAUUGCUGCAGUUAAAAAAGCUCGUAGUUGGAUUUCUGUGAGACUUGUUUUGUUCGGCCUGCGGGGUCGGGCGAAUCACUUUUCACAUCCUUCUGUUAACCUUACACUCCUUCACCGGUGUGUCUGUGGGCUCAGAUACUUUACCUUGAGUAAAUUAGAGUGUUUCAGGCAAGCUUUCGCUUGAAUACAUUAGCAUGGAAUAAUAGAAAAAGGACUUCGGUUUCAUUUUCAUUGGUUAUGAGCGGAGUAAUGAUUAAUAGGGGAUAGUUGGGGGGCAUUAGGUACUUAAUUGUCAGAGGUGAAAUUCUUUGAUUUGUUAAAGACUAUCUGAUGCGAAAGCGUUUGCCAAGAAUGUUUUCAUUAAUCAAGAACGAAAGUUAGGGGAUCAAAGACGAUCAGAUACCGUCCUAGUCUUAACUAUAAACUAUGCCG